rnacentral:rRNA from 1 species
AUGUUGAAGAGAAAGCAAUUCUCCAUUCGUCUGAGUUUUGCUGUGACCAUAAACAAAGCCCACGGGCAAACCAUCCCAACUGUUGGCAUAUACCUUCCGCAGCCUGUAUUCUUGCACGGCCAGCUUUAUGUUGCACUGUCAAAGGGGUGUUCCAAGGCAUACAACUCGGGUUCUGGAAAAGCCAAAUAA